AGCAGUUGUAACCUCUUCAAAAAUCUUACUAUGUCAUGUUGGUGAGAAGAUUGAACAAGAAAUCCCAAGCAAGAAGAGGACAAUUCAGAACACACAGCCCUCCACCACAGAAACCUAUAGACUCAAACAUUUCCUCAAGACACCAAGAAGUUAGUUAAGUAUUCUUCUGAUGGAAAAGUUUUUAAAAAAUGAAUAUAAUAUAUAUGUAAUGUUGACAUUUUUAUACCAAAGGCUAUAGCUUAACCUUUUAUAUUAUUGAACCACCUAAAAUAAGUUAACUUUUCACUUGGCAUGACUAUUUUUAUUUAUCUAACCAUGAAUUAGCAACCUCAAAAGGCUUUGCCUUAUUCAUUAUUCAACAUUAAGUAGCCGCUUCUCACUUUGAUGUAGGUUAUUAAUUUAUAGACUGCCUUUAGCUUAAGUCAACUGAUGACAAAGCACAGUUCCAGAAGUAGAUUUUGAAAAUAAGCAGCUUACAGCAGGAGAAUAUUUGUCAGCUUUAAUGUUUACUCAAUAAUUCAGUAAAAGGAAACAACGAAAAGGAAGUUACUGUUAUGUAGAAAAAUAUCUUCUUUACAGUUCUAUUCAAUGAUUAAGCUUUCAUUAAGAAGUAUAAUUUCUGCAACUUAGCUGACAAUGAUGAAGGCUUUGGUGUGCUGGCUAUUACAGAAGGCAGAUCCAAAAUUUGUUUAGAAAUCACAGAGCAACAGUUUUCCUGUUACAAACUCAGAGAACAUCCACUCAAGGUACGAAUGCACAAAACCAAGAGACCAGAUCUGUGUUAUCCCUCCAAAUUAGCAUUUAUAAAAUGGGUUUCAAGGAUUUCCACUCUGUUAUUAAUUAUUAUUCUUCCUCCUCCUUCCCCUCCUCCUUCUCUUCCUCUUCUUCUUCUCUUUCUUUUUUAUACUGAACAGUAAGACCAAAAAAUUUACAAUGUAUGUUAGCAAUCAUCUUGUCCAGUCAUAAUUUUACAGAUAAAUGGUAGUAAAGCCUAUUGGUUAUGAGUGAAGGCUCAGGAGUCAGUCUUAGUCUGCCUGAGUUCAAAUCCUGGCUCAACCGCUUUCUACCUGUGCAACCUUUGGACAGGUGAUUUACUUGUCUGUACUUUAUUUAUUUGAGCAGUAAAAUCAAUGUUACGGGCUCUUGAAAGUAUUUACAGAAUUGAGUUAUUAUGAUAAAUAAACAAGGCUGUACAUAAGUAUUAGAUGUGUUAUUACAAAUGGGAGAGCUGAGGUUGUGAGCAGUUAAGGAAUUUGUGUAGGUUCCUCAGCUAGUCAGCUGUGGAGUCCAAGUCUUCUUAUUCCCAUCCGAGACUCCAUAUUCUACAAGUGAACAGUAUGGUAGUGGACAUAGAUCCUUUCUGCCUAAACAGCAUCCAUUCCUCCUUCUUCUGGUAAUAGCAACCUAGCACUUACUUUGGAGAGCCACCUGACCCCAAUUUUUAGUGUAUGUACAUCAACUUAAUGUGGGAGGAGUGCGAGGGUGUCACUCAACCCAAGCCUGGCCAGUCAGAGGAUUCCAUCACCCUGGCCAUAAAGUUUGGUUCAGGAGGGGAAUAUAACUUCAGAUCAGUGAGAUGCCAUCCAGGCUGUCUCCUGGAACAAUUGGGGAAAAGAUAACCUUUUUCCUUUGGGCAUGUGACUAUUAAGAUGUAAGUUCAGAGACUCUGCUAGCCAUCUUGCUGCUAAGAAGGGAAAGCCUAGGUAAAAAAGAAGCCAACAGAGAGGGAAAGAUAGCUCAUAAUUGGAGAGAGAAAUAUUCCUGAUGGCAUCUCUGGUGUGCUUGGAUUGAGCCAUACCUGUAGGAAGGGGAGAUCUAUCUUUGGACUUGUCAGUUAGUUCAGCCAAUAAAGUGGCUGCUGUCACUUACAUUGAAAAAUACUGACUUACACAGGCAUUAAAAAAAUAUGCCACACAGUUCUCACUUCAGGAACCAGCUUGAGUAUUUCCUUGUAUGAAAAUACUCUGAAACCCAAAUCUUCCUGUUACAACAUGAGAGUAAUUUUGGCAGUCCUCCUUACUUCAUGAUAUUUUGAUAUUGUCUUGGUUAGGUGAGCAAUAUUGAGAAGAAGUAUAGGGUGGGCCUGGAGUCAGAUCUGAGUUGGAAUCCCAGACCUUCUUCUGGUCAGCUCCCUUCUCCUUGGCUAACCACUUAAUCUCUGUAAGCCUUAGUUACCUUGUCUGAAUAGACUUAUUGCAAGGGCUCAAUAAGAUAAUGUAUGCAAAAUACUAACAUUAAGAAGACAGUAAUGAUAAUGCUAAAAUGACUAACAUUUAUUGAUGUUAACUGAGUGCUAGACUCUGCUGAGCACUUUAAAUGAGUACCUCAUUUACUACCCAUAAUGACCUUGUGUGGUAAGAGUGCCAUUCCUCAUUUUGCAGUUGAGAAAACUGAGAGACAGAGAGAGUUCAGAAAGUCAGGAGUGGAGUUGAGUGAGAAGAAACAAGAGUUAUUUUGGGAAAGUUAUGGUAACCUCUCUGAGUCUUGGCCUCCUCAGCUAUAAAAUGGUUUUACCUAUGCCCCAGGUUUUUGUAAGGGUUAAAAGAGAUCAUUACGAAAAGCACUUAGCAGGUUGCCUGGGGAUCACCAUUACCAUCAUCAUCAUCAUCACCAACAAUGCCUAUACAAACGGGCAGAUCUUGGUCUGAAGUUUACAUAUACUCACUGAAUUUGGUUUUCCUUAGUGAUCUUUCUUGGUGAACAGAUCUUGUCUUCACAGUUUAAAUGAAAAGCAAAGCAAAACAAAAACAAAAACGGAAAUGAAAAAUCUGCAACCUAAGAGAUUCUGUUUAUUAGCUGCCUCCUAACAGCAAGCAAAAUAGCCCAGGAAGAGCUUCUGGAAAAAAAAAGACUGAGGCGGGUUCUGCAUAAGUGUCUUUCCCUAUGCACUGCUCUACAUCUCUGCGGUGGACACAUCACAUAGAGCCCUGAGAAAUCACAUGGGGAAGAGAGCAAAAUGUCAGCACAAGAAAGCUGCUCAGUAACUAAAGACCAACUGUGUCCCUCAUACAGUUCUUUCUAGACAAAGAGCUCACUGGGCCUUGACCCUCCCCAAAUGUGCCUAAAUGGUCAUUUUUAGGCUCUUGCUUAUAUUUCAGUGAAAUGGUCUAUACUGGGGGCCAAAUACAGCUCCAUCUCCCCAUUUUGCUCAUCUGUCCUCUUCCAGGUGACAUGUUCACAAACACACUCCUCCUCCCAGAGGAAUUGCUGUCCUUGUCCCCUCUUUUCCUUACCACCUCCACUCAACAGCAGAACAGUAAGGGACAGUACCUUGGCACCCUGCUUGUGAUAGGUGAACAUCUCCUGGUGAGUGCUACUCAGGGACCAAAGCUCUGCCUGCCAGGAAAAGUGUGAAGAUGAGCACCCUUGGUCUUGUUGGGUGGAGCAGAAAGGAGGACUGUAGGAACCACUUUACGUGUAGUGUGCAGCAUCUAACUGGGAGAUUGAGAGAAAAGGGGGAAUUGAUUCCAGUUGUUUUCAGAUGACUUUUUUCUAUUCCCUCUUUCUUUCUCCAGAGAUUCACAGUUUAUUUCUGGUCAUCUGCUCCACCUGGGACAGGUUUAUAACUCCCCUUGAAGAUAACACCAAGAACAGAGGGUGGACAGUCUUGAAAUUGGUGUUGUGCCUGCUUCUUUUGUUCAUCUGUCACAGGAAGACAAAUCUUGUGGUCUGUCCUGCUUGGCUUGGUGACAUACUUUCAAAAUUUACAAAUACUCUAUUAGUAAGAAUAAACAACAUAAACAAAAGUCCCUUACUGGGG
rnacentral:lncRNA from 1 species